GUCCCUGUAGCUUAUAAACAAAGCAUAGCACUGAAGAUGCUAAGACGGCUCCCACAUGCCCAAGGACA
rnacentral:tRNA from 1 species